CUAAGAAUAUUCCGCAAUGGACGGAAGUCUGACGGAGCGACGCCGCGUGGAUGACGAAGGCCGAAAGGUUGUAAAGUUCUUUUGCUGGGGAAGAAUAACCGCAGGAGGGAAUGCCUGUGGGAUGACAAGAACCGGCGAAUAAGCCCCGGCCAACUACGUGCCAGCAGCCGCGGUAACACGUAGGGGGCGAGCGUUGUUCGGAAUUACUGGGCGUAAAGGGCAUGUAGGCGGCUUGGAAAGCCUGGCGUGAAAGUCUGCAGCUUAACUGCAGGGGUGCGCUGGGAACUGCUGAGCUUGAGUGACGGAGAGGGAGCUGGAAUUCCUGGUGUAGGGGUGAAAUCUGUAGAUAUCAGGAAGAACACCGAUGGCGAAGGCAAGCUCCUGGCCGAUGACUGACGCUGAGGUGCGAAAGUGUGGGGAUCAAACAGGAUUAGAUACCCUGGUAGUCCACACAGUCAACGAUGUGCACUAGGUGCUGGGGCGGUAGCUUCGGUGCCGGAGCGAACGUGGUAAGUGCACCGCCUGGGGAGUAUGCUCGCAAGGGUGAAACUCAAAGGAAUUGAC
rnacentral:rRNA from 1 species